rnacentral:lncRNA from 1 species
GCGGCAGGGGAAGUAGCUUUUGGGGAAGUAGCUUUUGGGGAAGUUGGGAGGGGUCACAAAAGUAUUACAUGAUUGUUGAAGUGGUGAGGGAACUCAGGGCCUCUCAGAAGGUGUGAUGGGCGGGGGCGUCAUCCUCAGUGCAGCCAGGCUCAAAUGUACCCCCGUCACCCACAACCCGCACAUCAGUCCUUCCUUCAACAAGUGCCCCUAAGUGUCUCCAAGUUCCAAUCCACUGGCAGCUGGGGUUCGGGGGAGCUCCACAAACCCCCCGACCUUGUAGAUCCCACAGUGGCCUCCUCAGACAGACACAGAAACAAGGCCACCAACUGUCCAGGCAGGUGGACUGAUGAUGGAUGGCCUGAGGAAGUGGAGGUCGGAC